UAACUCAAGUAACCAAAAGAGAGAAACUCCUCAAGUCAUUCCCUCCCUCGCCGACCACUCGUAGGCCUUACCAUCGCCGACGACCAUCCAUCAUCCUUCAAUCAUUCACACUCAUUCAAAUUGAUCAUUCUUCAUGUUUUCAUCUUCUCCCCUCAGAUCCGCAUCGCUAUUCUUGUUCGUUCGUGUCUCAGAUCUCCAUUGCUAGGUUCGGUUCUAUCGCCAAUGUCGCCAAGGAAGAAACGAAAAUAUGGCGGAACCUGUAGCAUUACCUUCACUUUCAACACCAUCGUUAAUGUUGGCAAGGAAGUCCAACGCAGAGGUUGAGGAGGUUCUUGAUCAGAUUCUCACUUCCGCCACAUACACUAUCGCUAAUCUCACGCGCACUACACUCAUCAAAUCUCAUUCUCAAUUCAACCUCUCAAACACACUGCAAUAUCUCAAUUUAGCGGCUACAAUUUCCAUGGUUUAGAAACAACACUAGUUUCCGAUGACUCUGCCUCUGUAUAAUGCAACUGCUAUGGAGUAAUGGAGAACCUUGGUAAUUGGCCAGUUGUUGAUCCGCUACUGUCAUAUGGACGAGGAAGGGAGUUGCUGGGUAGAAGGCACAAGAGCCUCAUUUAUGGACCAGAUUUUACUGAUGUUAUUAUAAUAAGGGACUCAGUGGUCAGCCAUUUUCUGGUCCUGAUCUUAGGGGAUUUGCUGGAAACGCAACACCUAGGAUUUUUGGAAGGUGGAUGGAUGUAGAUUCCUUGUUUCCCUUCUGCAAAGGUCAUUCUGAAAAAGGCACAAACGAUCAUGAACCCUGGUCUUUUGGGGAAGAGAUUGGUUCGCAGUUGCCUAUACCAAGUGGUGUCCUGCUCCAGACUGUGAAUAUGCUGUUAAUUUUGACAUUGGUAGUGAAAAUUAUGUGUAUCUUGCCUCUGUUCAUAUAGCUUUUGCUGGAAUAGGAAGCUUAUCGUCCAGUUGAUUGUGGCACUAUGUCAAAGUGGAUUCUGAAAAAUAGUGCAGAAUCUGAAAACAUGAACUGGAUACUUGCUAACUCAAAGCCAUGUCCGAAGUGCAAGUGAUCAAUUGAAAAAAAAAUCAAGGGUGCAUGCACAUGAUGUGUACUCCACCUUGUAAAUUUGAUUUUUGCUGUAUUUAAGGUUCAUUGGAGAGGUAUACGCAUUAUUAUGAGCGAUGGGCCAGCAAUCAAUCUGUACGCACUACUUUAUACCUAUUAGUAUUCUAGGAAAAUGUUUUCUUCACAUAUCUAAAUUCAUUGAUUAGUUUUAUAUUUGGAUAGUAUUCUUACUAUGUUAUAUGCUUUAUGAUUAAUUUUCUUUCUAUGGCAGUCGAGGUAAAAAGCUCUUGCAGAUCUACACCAGAUGCAAACUGUUCAUGUAUAUUACAUAACAUUUGCUAUAUUUUGCAUUAGCUUGUAUCUGUCUUUUGCAACUCUUUCAGAAACAAUGGUAUAUAAGAUUGCACAUUUUUCUUGUUAGUAGUAUAGGUUGCUAUUUUUGUAGUCCAUUUAUUAUUUCAGUGUCAAGAGUCUGUUUAAAAUUGAAGCUCUUAAACUGCUGCUCUAGAAUCUUCUUUCUUCUAAGUAGAGCUUAAUAUGAGAUUGCGAGGAUCGUAAAAUCACCAUGUAAUCCUUGUACAUCAGUUUCUGGAUCAAUGAAUCAUUUACUAAAAACAAUCUUUGUGAACUUGUAAGAGGAAAUGCUGGGGAUCUUGUAGAAGAGGUAAUUCUUUGAACCUUUUCUCUAGCAUUUAAAUGUAUGUGCAUUAUCAAUGUUGUUGGAUCUUUGGAUUCAGAAGUCAUCAUAGCACCAAACCUUAAUCAUAAACCUACUAAAUAAUUAGGAAGAAGCUGAAUUAAUAUGAUGGAAGUAUUAUUUUUAGCUGAAAUUAAUAUAAUUCACUUUAAGGGAGCAAGUUGCUAAACUAACCAAAAGAUUGGAAUGGGCCUUUGCUCCGCCAUUUUGAUCAUAAAAUAUUUAGAAAGUAUUAGCUUUGUAUUAGAAGAAACUUCAUUUUAUUGCAAUUGAUAGCUCUGAAAUAUAUUUCAGGUAUUCUCGCUGAUAUUGCUGAAGCAAAAUACAACUAUUGGUCUACCUUCGCGCCUAAUCCUUUUGAAGUUGUAUUAACUGGUCUACAUAGUUAUAGGCUUGUAG